CACACUGUGCGCUACUCUACAUUAUCUGCUCUUGGGAAUGCCUGGCUUUGGCUCAUCUCUUCUUGGCCCUACCAUACUAGUUCCCAUCAUGGCUUUUGAGCAGGUCACCAGGACACACCCUGUGCCCCAUUGAUCACACCUGGAGAAACCCUGAGGAGACUCCGUUGCCCAGCAGGUAAAAUAUUCAAGGGUACAGACUGGACUGCUAAUUAGAGAACUGUCUGGAACCACCAUGAACCACAUUUCCAUCGGUGCAAUAAGCAAAGACUCUUCAUUAAAAUCACUGUCCUCUGUAAGGAAAGCUGUUUCAAGCGCAAUAGAUCUAAUUCACAGGAGUGAUCAUGCAGACCCAGGAAUAGAGAGCGGUUUCUCCAAUAAAGACUCCCUUCAAAGUGCAAAGUGGAAGGGCCCUGGGAGCCGCUGGUGCAGAAUAAAGCAUCGCAUCUCAGAAGCUGUUCAAAUUUAAAACCCUGCCCGCAUCCCUAUGACAAA